rnacentral:ncRNA from 1 species
ACCAUCCUUUUCUUGGGGUUGCGCUACUGCCCAAUGAACGCUUAGUGAGGACAGUACUGCUAACGCCUGAACAACACACCCGCACCAGUUAAAGCUCUGCUUUUACCUUGGUGCAAUUUUUGGAAAA